CAUCAGUGAUUGGAAACUAUUGCUGUCUUAGUCCUUGGCAUCGAUAUCUUACUUAUCCCACACCGUUAGCUCUUUGAGCGCCCAGUCUUGGUUUAACUUACAGCUCACCCCAAGCCUCCAACUUACAGCACCUUGGACAUAUGAGUCCUAACUCUCAAAUGAUUAAGUGACUAGAAUCUUGUAAUCAAGACAGAUUCCCAAAUGACAAGAAACAGAGAACUCCUCCUCACGUUCUUCAUCCACAGGACUUGACUUUACAGGCCAUACAAACCUCUAAUUCAGAAGCAACCACUGUCUAAACCAAAAGAAUUUUCUUAUUCAUCUCACUCCCAGGAACUGAAAUUAUCUUCGAUUCCUUCCUGUUAUGUAACCUCCUGAUAUCUAACCAAUAUUUAAGCCCUAUCUCAGCAACUUUCUAGUUUUUCCUGUUUGAUCCAUAGUCUCUCCAUGAUCACCUCCAUCCUGUGUGUCCUUCAAAUCUCUUUAUAAUGUCAACUCUCCUUGGUUUCAGAUUUAGAGCAUUAUCAAUAUUUCACUUGUAACUACUGGAAAAAAUGCUGGUCAACCCUGAACUUAAUUAUUAUAUAGAAAUAAUUGACACAGUAAGCUCUAACAGUAGAAAACAAUUUAUUUACUAAAAACUUCAAGUAACAGGGGGCGGCCCAGUAGUGCAGCAGUGAAGUUUGCGCUCCACUUCAGCUGCCCGGGGUUCGCCAGUUCAGAUCCUGGGCACAGACCUACACACCACUUAUCAAGCCAUGCUGUGGCAGGUGUCCCACAUAUAAAAUAGAGGGAGACGGGCAUAGAUAUUAAGUCAGGGCCAAUCUUCCACACACAAAAAAUAAAAUAAAAAUAUAAGUAAAUUUUUUUUAAAACUUCAAGUAAUAAUUUUCAAAAAAAGGUGAGGUAGAAGCAACAAUUUUAGCAUAUUUAACAUUCAUUAAAAAAAAAAAAACUCUGAGAGAAAUGAGAUUUCCUCCCAGAAGAUGGAUACACUGAGGUUAAAAUCAGUCACCAUAUACAUCAUUAAGCACUUUGAGGUAAUUUUGUUUUACAAGACAUCCUUACAUAAAAACGGAAAAGUGAGUAAUGCCCCUCAAAACAAAGGGACAUAUGAAAGUGAAAAGGUGAAAAUAGGGAUAUAUCUUUUAAAUUUGUCAAUUCAGCAAACAAAAUUUCUUCUCAAAAAAAGAGUAAGAAUUAUUUUCUUUUAUAUCAAAUUUACUCUAGAAUAUUGAAAACGGAAAGUAACAAGUGGGAAGUUAAGGGGAAUCAUAAAUUAAUUGGAAAUAAUCAAUUUAUAAGUAAUAAUUUAAAUGACUAGGUUCAAAGUGAAAACAUAGCUGAAUAGCUGAUAUCAGAAAGCAAAAGUCAAAGGAAAAAAACAGCAAAAUGGCCUUUGGAUCAGGGACCUCAAAAUACAGAAAAGAAUCACACCUUUGUUCUCAUCACAAGAAUGUGCUUAAAUGAUAAAAAUAAAUCAAUUUUCUUUACCUAAUAUUUCAAAUAAAAUGUGAUAAAAGUCUACAAAAUCAAAUUAGUCUUGAAAUUUUACACUUAGAAGUUUAAACCUCAGAUCCAAAAGUUAAUCCAUCUUUAAAGCUGGUAAAAUUUAUCAAACUCUUUCUAGGUCACACAAAAACAUUUAUAGUAACUAUAAAUUUAGACUUUUCACAGUUUGGGGUAUACCUGUA
ensembl:lncRNA